AACAAACGCUGGCGGCGUGCCUAAUACAUGCAAGUCGAACGGGGAAAGCUUUCGGGUGAGUACUAGUGGCGCACGGGGGAGGAACGCGUGGAUAAUCUGCCUUGGAGUGGGGGAUAAAUAGUCGAAAGAUUAGCUAAUACCGCAUAAGACCACGAGAGCUGCGGCCUUUGAGGUCAAAGGUUUUUCGCUCUAAGAUGAGUCCGCGUAAGAUUAGCUAGUUGGUGAGGUAACGGCUCACCAAGGCGACGAUCUUUAACUGGUCUGAGAGGAUGAUCAGUCACACUGGAACUGAGACACGGUCCAGACUCCUACGGGAGGCAGCAGUAGGGAAUAUUGCACAAUGGAGGAAACUCUGAUGCAGCGACGCCGCGUGAGUGAUGAAGGCCUUCGGGUCGUAAAGCUCUGUCGCAGGGGAAUAACACAAUGAAGGUACCCUGUAAGAAAGGAUCGGCUAACUUCGUG
rnacentral:rRNA from 1 species